rnacentral:rRNA from 1 species
CCCUUAGACGUUCUGGGCCGCACGCGCGCUACACUGACCGGUGCAACAAGCAUCCGUCCUUGGCCGACAGGCCCGGGCAAUCUUUGAACGCCGGUCGUGAUGGGGAUAGACUUUUGCAAUUUUUGGUCUUCAACGAGGAAUUCCUAGUAAACGCAAGUCAUCAACUUGCAUUGAUUACGUCCCUGCCCUUUGUACACACCGCCCGUCGCACCUACCGAUUGAAUGGUCCGGUGAAGCCUCCGGAUUGGCGCGCACCUCGGUGCCGCCGAGAAGUUGGCUAAACCUUACCAUUUAGAGGAAGGAGAANUCGUANCA